AAGGAAGGCAGCAGGCGCGAAAAUUACCCAAUUUUAGUUAAAAGAGGUAGUGACGAAAAAUGACAACCAAAUAUUAUUAUUAAUAUUUGGAUUGAAAAUCUUCAAGUAUAAAUAACUUGUUGGUAAAGGAAAGGGCAAGUCUGGUGCCAGCAGCCGCGGUAAUACCAGCUUUCCAAGUGCAUAAAAUGAUUGUUGUGGUUAAAAAGCUCGUAGUUGGAUUAUAAAGAUUGUAUAAUGAGCAUCUUGGAUGUUAUUUAAUCAUUAUCAUCUUAUAUUUUUAUUAUAUUAGAAAUAAUAUAAUAACUGUUACUUUGAAUAAAUCAGAGGGUUUAAACCAGACAUUAUAUGUUUGUAUGGUCUAGCAUGGAAUAACACUAUAGAAAAAUUUAGUGUGGUUUCACUUAAUUUUUCAUGAUUAAUAGGAACAAACGGGGGCAUUCGUAUCGCUACGUUAGAGGUGAAAUUCUUGGACCGUAGCGAGACGUCCUACUGCGAAAGCAUUUGCCAAGAAUGUUUCAUAAUCAAGAACGAAAGUUAGAGGUUCGAAGGCGAUCAGAUACCGCCCUAGUUCUAACCGUAAACUAUGCCUACUAGAUGUAUGAAUUAUUAGUUAUAAUAAUUUAUGCAUCUUCUCGGAAACGAAAGUCUUUCGGUUCCGGG
rnacentral:rRNA from 1 species